CCGCCCCCUCCUCCCAAUCCCCUAUGGUCGUCGCCUCCCGUCCGGUGCCGCCGCACCACACAGCCGGCGGUUGACCCCACACCGCUGCUGCUCCCACUCCUCCAGCGCCAUCUCCCCCCAUCGACCGCCGCCCUGUCGCCCCGUCGCCGUCCAGCCAGUCGCCUCCGUCGCCGGCCAACGCUGGACCGUCGACGUCCAGCCACCCCUCGUGCGCCCUCCAGCCAUUCUAGCGGCGCCUUCAUCCCCGACGACCGGCGCCCCUCGCAGUCUUGUAGUACAGUGCCCCUCAAAAGAACACCUAUUACACAGCUCUGAAAGCAGCAGAUCCACUACAUUGGAAGGACCGUGAUCUCGAUCCAGAAAUCAUGUACUCCUCCAGUGGUGGCAUGCCCAUGGGCGACUAGCAAUAGGUGAUGGUGCUAUAAAGAAAGCAGUGGUAGUUGCAAAAGCUAGAGAGAAUGACACAAGGCCAUCAAACUCCAUAUCAUACCAUUGUUUAUUGAAGGAAAAUGCUCAACUUAAAAGGCGCUGCAAGAAUAAUUUUGUUCUGAGCAAACAUGUACAGGGGUUUUAUGGCAAGCUAGGAUGGGAAGUACCCGAAGAUCUUCUUGCCUACCAAGAUGAGCUGAUGGAUGGCGGUGAUCUGGUGAAUGAAAUACCCCAGGCCCAAGAGGAUGGUGGUACUCCAAUGACAGAUUCUUCACAUGAUGAAAGGCAUGUUGAUGCUGGUACUCAAAUGGAUGAUCAUGGUUCUGGUCCGACACAUGAAAAUCAUUUAGGAAUGCCAUAGUUAUAAUUAGUGCUUGUACUGGUAACUAUGUGCACGAACCCUUUUAUUUGUCAAUCGCUACUACUGAUGGAAAUUUAGGACUCUAGUAUAUCUUUUGGUCUGGCUAAGAACUAGUGUUAAGUUGAGCUUUUGGUAAUUAUGCGAAUCUGGUGAACAUGGAGGUUUGUGUAAUGGGUAUAUAUUGUGAGCUAUGAAUGGGAUGCCAUCUUAAACUAGGCUAUGUGACCUUUGUUUGUGCAAGAAUA